rnacentral:rRNA from 1 species
AAUAUUGGACAAGGGUGGCAACCCUGACCUAGCCAUGCCGCGUGUGUGAAGAAGGUCAUCGGUUUGUAAAGCACUUUAAUUUUGGAGGAAGGGCUUUAGGCUAAUACCCGGAAGUUUUGACGUUACCAACAGUUUAAGCACCGGCUAACUCUGUGCCUUCAGCCGCGGUAAUACAGAGGGUGCAAGCGUUAAUCGGAAUUACUGGGCGUAAAGCGCGCGUAGGUGGUUCAGUAAGAUGGGUGUGAAAACCCCGGGCUUAAACUGGGAACUGCUUUCAUAACUGCUGAGCUAGAGUACGGUAGAGGGUAGUGGAAUUUCCUGUGUAGCGGUGAAAUGCGUAGAUAUAGGAAGGAACACCAGUGGCGAAGGCGACUACCUGGACUGAUACUGACACUGAGGUGCGAAAGCGUGGGGAGCAAACA